rnacentral:rRNA from 1 species
UUGUCUUUUAAAUGAAGACCCGUAUGAAUGGCACGACGAGGGCUUAACUGUCUCCUUUUUCCAGUCAAUGAAAUUGAUCUUCCCGUGCAGAAGCGGGAAUACACCCAUAAGACGAGAAGACCCUAUGGAGCUUUAGACGCCAGAACAGCCUAUGUUAAACACCCCUCCCAUAAAGGAUAAAACUAAUUAGCCCCUGUUUAAUGUCUUUGGUUGGGGCGACCACGGGGAACAAGAAACCCCCACAUGGACUAAGAGCACACCCCUCUCACAACCCCGAGCUACAACUCAAAGUACCAGAACUUCUGACCAGUAAGAUCCGGCACAGCCGAUCAAUGGACCAAGUUACCCUAGGGAUAACAGCGCAAUCCUCUUUUAGAGCCCCUAUCGACAAGAGGGUUUACGACCUCGAUGUUGGAUCAGGACAUCCUAAU